rnacentral:lncRNA from 1 species
GUUUGGAGAAGAGCUAAUUAGAGCUGAUCUGCAAUGUAAACUUCAACAUUGAAUGAACACAGCUUCCAGAAAUCAAGUUAAAAGAACACUGAACACUGAUGAGAGGUAUUCACUAAAAAAAGAACCAGCAACAUAAGUACUAAUCACUCAGCACAGGUACAAGUAUUCUUCAAGGAAUUGCUUUUGACAGACUACCAAUACCACCUAGCUCCUUAUGUCUGCAGUAUUUCAGCAAUCACCUUCUAAGUACAAGUAGUAAGUAGCACUUCUAAGUUGGGUAAAAAAAAGAUGGUUACUUCUAUCCUCAUCAAAAUACUCUCUAACUUGAAUGAAGAUGUGUGAAGCUCAGUGAAAUAGUUAUAUCCAUAAUUCUAUGUCCAAGAAUGGGCCUCCUAGUAAGAAUAAGC